AUGGACGGCGAUGGCGGCCGCCGAGACGCCCCCGGCGCGCUGAUGGAGGCCGGGCGCGGCCCGGGGUCCACGGGCAUGGCGGAGCCGCGGGCGAGGGCGGCGCGGCUCGGGCCCCAGCGCUUUCUACGGCGCAGCGUGGUGGUGGAGUCGGAUCAGGAGGAGCCGCCGGGCCUGGAGGCGGCCGAGGCGCCCAGCGUUCAGCCCCCGCAGCCCCUGCAGCGCCGGGUGCUGCUGCUUUGCAAGACGCGCCGCCUCAUCGCGGAGCGCGCCCGGGGCCGCCCCGCCGCUCCUGCGCCCUCUGCGCCCGCCGCGCCGCCCGGUGCCCCGGGUAGCCCUUCGGACCCCGGCCCAGAGCCCACGGGAGCGCAGGAGCCUAGCCGGGAUCCCGUCACCGCCACUGCCGCAGCCUUAGCCGCGCCUGUCCCCGACGGCGGCCCUCGGCAGGAGAAGGAGGCGGAGGAGGCGGCGGCGGCGGCGGCUGCUGCUGCUGCUACACCGGACAACGCUGGAGCCGCCACCGAAGCCAAGCCGGAGCCCGGGCGGGCUCGCAAAGAUGAGCCCGAGGAGGAAGAGGACGACGAGGACGAUCUCAAGGCCGUGGCCACCUCCCUGGACGGCCGCUUCCUCAAGUUUGACAUAGAGCUGGGCCGGGGCUCUUUCAAGACCGUCUACAAAGGGCUUGACACGGAGACCUGGGUGGAGGUGGCCUGGUGUGAACUGCAGGACCGGAAGCUCACCAAGCUGGAGCGGCAGCGGUUCAAGGAGGAGGCAGAGAUGCUGAAAGGCCUGCAGCACCCCAACAUCGUGCGCUUCUAUGACUUCUGGGAGUCUAGCGCCAAGGGCAAGCGAUGCAUUGUGUUGGUGACAGAGCUGAUGACCUCGGGGACACUGAAGACGUACCUGAAGCGGUUCAAGGUGAUGAAACCCAAGGUGCUCCGCAGCUGGUGCCGGCAGAUCCUGAAGGGCCUGCUGUUCCUGCACACGAGGACACCCCCCAUCAUCCACCGAGACCUGAAGUGUGACAAUAUCUUCAUCACCGGGCCCACCGGCUCUGUGAAGAUUGGCGACUUGGGCCUGGCCACCCUCAAAAGAGCAUCAUUUGCCAAAAGCGUGAUAGGGACACCGGAGUUCAUGGCACCCGAGAUGUACGAGGAACACUAUGAUGAGUCAGUGGAUGUGUAUGCCUUCGGAAUGUGCAUGCUGGAAAUGGCCACCUCCGAGUACCCCUACUCCGAGUGUCAGAAUGCUGCCCAGAUCUACCGCAAGGUCACCUGUGGUAUCAAGCCAGCCAGCUUUGACAAGGUGCAUGAUCCUGAGAUUAAGGAGAUCAUUGGGGAGUGCAUCUGCAAGAACAAGGAGGAAAGGUAUGAGAUCAAGGAUCUGCUGAGUCAUGCCUUCUUCGCGGAGGACACGGGUGUCCGUGUGGAACUUGCAGAAGAGGACCAUGGCAGGAAGUCCACCAUUGCCCUGCGGCUCUGGGUGGAAGACCCCAAGAAGCUGAAGGGCAAGCCCAAGGACAAUGGAGCCAUAGAGUUUACCUUUGACCUGGAGAAAGAGACCCCUGACGAAGUGGCUCAGGAAAUGAUUGACUCUGGCUUUUUCCAUGAGAGUGAUGUGAAGAUUGUGGCCAAGUCCAUCCGUGACCGCGUAGCGCUGAUCCAAUGGCGGCGAGAGAGGAUCUGGCCUGCUCUGCAGUCCCAGGAGCCCAAGGACUCCGGCAGCCCAGACAAGGCCCGGGGUCCACCAGCACCCCUGCAGGUCCAGGUGACCUACCAUGCGCAGGCUGGGCAGCCUGGGCAGCCUGCACCGCCAGAGCCAGAGGAGCCUGAGGCUGACCAGCAUCUCCUGCCUCCGACCCUGCCAGCCAGCGCCACCUCCUUAGCCUCGGACAGCACCUUCGACAGCGGCCAGGGCUCCACCGUGUAUUCGGACUCGCAGAGCAGCCAGCAGAGCAUGGUGCUCAGCUCCCUUGUGGACACAGCUCCUCCCCAAGCCUCAUGCGUGUGCAGUCCCCCCGUGAGUGAGGGGCCCGGCCUGCCGCACAGUCUGCCCUCACUAGGGGCCUUCCAGCAGCCUACCACUGUGCCUGCUCUAUCAGUGGGUUCUGUUCCACCCCCUGCCCACCCUCCACUCCUCCAGCAGCAUUUUCCAGAGCCUUCCAUGAGCUUUGCCCCUGUGAUGCCACCAUCCAGCACCCCUGUGCCCACGGGUCCAGGCCAGCCAGCACCCUCUGCCCAUCAGCCCCUUCCAAUGGCCCAGCCACCGGCCCUGCCGCAAGUUCUAGCCCCCCAGCCCAUGGGCGCGAUACAGCCGGUGCCCUCCCACCUGCCUCCGUACCUGGCCCCGCCCUCCCAGGUGGUGGUCCCCGCUCAGCUGAAGCCCCUCCAGAUGCCGUCGCAGCCGCCCCUUCAGCCCCUCGCUCAAGUCCCUCCUCAGAUUCCCCCAAUGCCUAUGGUUCCCCCCAUCACGCCCUUGGCGGGAAUCGACAGCCUCCCUCAGGCCCUUGCUGAUCUGCCAGCUGCGAACGUGGCCCCUGUACCGCCACCUCAGUAUUUCUCACCUGCUGUGAUCUUGCCAAGCCUCGCAGCCUCGAUGCCCGCAUCCCCAGCUCUGCCUCUGCAGGCGGUCAAACUGCCUCAUCCCACCGGAGCACCCCUGACCGUGCCCUGCCAGACCAUUGUGCCAAACGCACCGGCCGCCAUCCCUCUGCUGGCUGUGGCCCCUCAGGGCGUGGCAGCUCUCUCCAUCCACCCAGCAGUGGCCCAGCUCCCGGCCCAGCUCCCGGCCCAGCUGCCGGCCCAGCUCCCUGCCCAGCUCCCUGCCCAGCCUGUGUACCCAGCAACCUUCCCCCAGGUGGCACCUGGAGACAUCCCGCCCUCCCCGCACCACACAGUGCAGAGCUUACGGGCCACCCCUCCGCAGCUGGCCUCCCCUCUGCCUCCUCAGCCUGUCCAGCCCGGCAUUGUCCACCUGCCUGAGCAGGCUGCUCCAACUGCUGCCUCAGGGACCCAGGUCCUGCUGGGCCACCCACCUCCGUACAACGUGGACGUCGCUGCUCCGGUGCCUGCUGUGCCCCUGCCCCCUGCUGUCGUCUCCCCACCGCUGCCAGACACGGUGCCACCUGCCGCCCCUGAGCUCCUGCCUAAGCUCCCUGGCUCUCUGGCCCCCGUGGUGGCAGCGGCUCCUCAGAGUGUGCCCACCCAGACUGCCCCGCUCCUGCCACCGGCGAACGCACCUCUGCCCGCUGGACCUGUGAUGGCCGGACCCUGCCCGGCCGUCCAGCUGACCGUGGAAGCGGCUCAAGAGGAGCAGGCCUCGCAAGACAAGCCGCCUGGCCUCCCACAGAGCUGCGAGAGCCUUGGAGGGUCCGAUGUCACUUCCGGAAGAGACCUGAGUGACAGCUGUGAAGGCACCUUCGGAGGGGGCAGGCUGGAGGGCCGAGCCGCGCGAAAACACCACCGCAGGUCCACACGUGCCCGCUCCAGGCAGGAGAGGGCCAGCCGGCCCCGGCUCACCAUCCUGAACGUGUGCAACACGGGGGACAAGAUGGUGGAGUGCCAGCUGGAAACACAUAACCACAAGAUGGUGACCUUCAAGUUUGACUUGGAUGGGGACGCACCCGACGAGAUUGCCACAUAUAUGGUAGAGCAUGAUUUCAUCUUGCCUGCCGAGCGCGAGACGUUCAUCGAGCAGAUGAAGGACGUCAUGGACAAGGCCGAAGACAUGCUCAGCGAGGACACGGACGCUGACCAUGGCUCCGACGCAGGGGCCAGUCCUCCACACCUGGGCGCCUGCGGCUUGGCCGUGGGGGAGGAGAGCGGCCAGUCUCAAGCCAGUGCCCCGGUCUAUCAGCAGAAUGUCCUGCACACGGGGAAGAGGUGGUUUAUCAUCUGUCCGGUGGCUGAGCACCCAGCAGCCGACGCUCCUGAGUCGUCACCCCCACUUCCUGUAACUUCCUUGCAGCAAGAAGCCAGCCAAGAUCCAGCAUCCCAUACAGACCAGCUACCCUUGAAGGAAAAGCCUGGCUUUCCAGCCACUCAGCAGCUUCUGAGCCAGGUGGGCUCCAGCGAUCCUUCCGGCGGGGUGUCAACUCCCUUGGCACCAUCCUCCCCUCCUGUGACAACUGUACCCUCAGCAGCACCAGCUGCCAGCACUGUGCCAGAGCCAACAUCAGGGACUGCCAUCCAGGCAGGGCCUUCAGGGACUCCUCAGGGGUCAGCCAGUCAGCAUGAGACCCCCCAGCCACUGGUGGGGACCCACCACACCCAGCGUACCACCAAGCCCCUUAGCACAGACCAAGGACCUUGCAUCCCAGCUCUUGAGGCCUCUCGCUGCCCGACGGGUUUGGGGGAACCAGCCCCAGCCAGGGAGGUCAGCACCCUGGGGGAGACCCUUCCUGGUUCAGUGCUGGAACCUAACCCCCCUGGUGGGACCCUACAACCUACCCUGAGUCAGCCACCACCCCUGAUGCCCACCACAGUGGGCUCAAUCAACCUGGCUGCCCCUCAGCAGCUUCCCAGCCCCCCUCUGGGACCCACAGCUCCCCCGCCACCACCCUCGGCUUUGGAGUCAGAUGGAGAAGGGCCACCCCCCAGGGUGGGCUUUGUGGACAACACCAUCAAGAGCCUGGACGAGAAACUGCGGACACUGCUGUACCAGGAGCACGUGCCCACCUCCUCGGCCUCGGCCGGGACCCCCAUGGAAGCUGGCGACCGAGACUUCACCUUGGAUCCGCUGCGAGGAGACCUGCCCCGUGGGGAAGGCGUUGGAGGAGACCCAGCCCUGCCUUCAGCCCUGAGCGACAAGGCUCCAAGUGUCCCUCAGCCAGCCCAGCCCUUGUUGGAAAAGUCGGAAACGGCUCCCGCAGGCUGGGCCACAGCGGAACAGGAGCAGGGCGCGUCUUCACCAAUGACAGCAGAGUCAUCUUCCAGCAACACGCUGGGCUGUGACAGUGAUGGAGGGCAGGUGGUCUCAGACUCCCCUACAGCACCAGGUGCCUCCCAGAUAAGGGAUGGACCUGUUUCUGGGAGCCCUGCCCACACAGAGCCCAAAGAUCAGAACAGCAGGGAGGCCUCAGUGGAGCCCGGACAAAGUUGCCUGGGGACAUUUGCAGAGGGCAGCCAGCUCGGCCACCCUCAGAUACACGGCGCUCGGGUCUCGGGGUCCCCACGGAAGCGGCCAGGGCAACAGGAUGGCAGCUCCCCGGCCAAAACCGUGGGUCGCUUCUCGGUUGUGAGCACCCAGGACGAGUGGACUCUGGCCUCGCCCCACAGCCUGCGGUACUCGGCCCCGCCCGAUGUCUACCUGGAUGAGGUCCCCUCCAGCCCGGAUGUGAAGUUGGCAGUGCGGCGGGUGCAGACAGCCUCCUCCAUUGACGUGGGCGCUGGGGAGCCUGCCUCCAGUGACUCCGGGGACGAGUGCCCUCGGGGAAGGCCGCCGGUGCAGAAGCAGUCCUCUUUGCCCGGUAGCAGCGGUGUGGCCAGCGACUUUGUGAAGAAGGCCACUGCCUUCCUGCAUAGGUCCUCGAGGGCAGGCUCACUGGGCCCCGAGACACCCAGCAGGGCGGGCGUGAAGGUCCCCACCAUCAGCGUCACCUCCUUCCACUCCCAGUCAUCCUACAUCAGCAGCGACAAUGACUCGGAGUUCGAGGACACGGACAUAAAGAAGGAACUCCGCAGUCUACGCGAGAAGCACCUGAAAGAAAUCUCAGAGCUGCAGAGCCAGCAGAAACAGGAGAUCGAGGCCCUGUACCACCGUCUCGGGAAGCCACUCCCGCCCAACGUGGGCUUCUUCCACACGGCGCCCCCCUCUGGCCGUAGGAGAAAAACCAGCAAGAGCAAGCUGAAAGCCGGCAAGCUGUUGAACCCCCUGGUACAGCAGCUCAAGGUCGUGGCCUCUAGCACAGGUCAUUUGUCUGACUCCAGCAGAGGCCCUCCCACUAAGGACCCUGCCCACGCCAGCACACCCCCGUGCACCAAGGCGGUUCAGACCCAGCAACCCUGCUCCGUCCGAGCCUCCCUGUCCACAGACAUCUGCUCCGGCUUAGCCAGUGAUGGAGGCGGAGCGCGUGGCCAAGGCUGGACGGUUUACCACCCAACGUCUGAGAGAGGGGCCUAUAAGUCUAGUAGCAAGCCUCGUGCUCGAUUCCUCAGUGGACCCGUAUCUGUGUCCAUCUGGUCAGCCCUGAAGCGUCUCUGCCUAGGCAAAGAACACAGCAGUAGGUCCUCCACCAGCAGCCUGGCCCCAGGCCCCGAGCCAGGUCCCCAGCCCACCCUGCACGUCCAGGCGCAGGUGAACAACAGUAACAACAAGAAAGGCACCUUCACGGACGAUUUGCACAAGCUGGUGGACGAGUGGACGACCAAGACGGUGGGGGCAGCGCAGCUGAAACCCACGCUCAACCAGCUCAAGCAGACGCAGAAGCUCCACGACAUGGAGGCCCUCAGCGAGGCGCGGGCUAUGACUGUACGUCGAGCAGGAGUGGGGAUGCCAUGUCUGGCCCCAGUGCCCGGCCCUCUGUCCACCGCAGCCAUUCCUGGAGCCACCCCGGCCCUUCCUGUGCCCACACCAGGUACUGUCCACCCCAGCCUCCCAGUCCUGCCCUGCGCACUGCCUCUGGGUCAGUAUGGAGGCCUGCUCCCCGCUCCAGUGUCCUGGGGGCGCUGGGUGGCCCAGGGGGGCCCACCAGGGACUUGGGGCUAUCAGAGCCAUGCCCAGGUACCUAUUCUACCAGUGUUCCUGCGGCCAGCUGCCAUCAGCACGCUGGGACCCCGGCUGCACAUCACGUAGCUCCCUGCCCUAGCCACAUGGCGCACUCUGACCCGCGUUGAAGAAUCCGAUUAUGUCUUGGCCUCUGCAUGGGCACAAGGCUCAGCCUAGGUGGCGUGUAUGGGGGACGGGGGGCGGCCAGCAAGAUGCUUCUUCCGCGCCUCAGACACCAUCACUCUUAGGUCCCCUCAGUCUGCAUGGGCAGUUUUCACAGCCACUGCUUGGCCUUGAUCGGGGGUUAAAACCUCAUCACCCCCCACAGCAGAGCAGUGCCUUGAAUUCCAGCUUUUCUGUUUCCUGACGGAAAGACACAUGGAAUCGGCAAAGAAACAAAGUCAACAUUGACAGUGUGACCUGUGAAUGCUAGAUGAGCGCGGCUCAGCCCUUUGUAAAGUGAGGUCCCUUGGGUGUCUUCAGUGACCGAAAGUCACAAGGCCCCGUUUGGAAGUUGACCUUGGAAGUGAGGAAUGGCAACAGUUCUGUUGGGCUCCGAGGAGCCUGUCGCACUAAGUGGGUGAAGGCUGUUUUGUGAGCACCCUGCAGAGGCAAGCCCUGCCCCUUUGGCUCAAGGGUCCCCUGCCCACUUUGCCCCUCUCCCGUGACUUUCACCAAGGCCUGUGUCCUACAUUCCUGAGUGGCAAAUCCAUCUCCAGGCCACUCUAAGGCCAGCCUGCUGAGGGGGAGGAACACUGCAGGAGAGUGCAAUGGGACUUGCCCCACAUGGGCACAAACAGCCCCAGGGGUGGUAAAAGCCCCCGGCCUCCCCCUUCAGGUGUUCUCGGCCUCCCCCUGGAAGAAUGCCUGAGGCCGCCCUGCUAUGAGCUGUCCACUUCUACUGUACCUAACAGAGCCAGCUAAAUUACUGUGGUUGAAACACACCAUGCCCUCAAUUCCGUUAGAAUUGAGUUUUUCUAGGGGACUGUGCAGAAUCUUCUGCCAAGACACAACACUGCAAUAAGAGAUUUCUGUUCCCUGUGUCAGGUCCAAGAACCACAUGGGCCUUUUCUUAAUGACAAGGAGUCCUCCGUCCCUCGCUUCCCCUCACACCCUAGGCCUUUCCUCCUAUGACGACGCUAGCGGCAUGGGAUCUCUGAGAGAUUGUGUAUGUGCAGGAGAAAAAUAAACAUUUUUUGCUUGAAAA